rnacentral:rRNA from 1 species
UACGUAUGGUGCAAGCGUUAUCCGGAUUUACUGGGUGUAAAGGGAGCGCAGGCGGUACGGCAAGUCUGAUGUGAAAGCCCGGGGCUCAACCCCGGUACUGCAUUGGAGACUGUCGGACUAGAGUGUCGGAGGGGUAAGUGGAAUUCCUAGUGUAGCGGUGAAAUGCGUAGAUAUUAGGAGGAACACCAGUGGCGAAGGCGGCUUACUGGACGAUUACUGACGCUGAGGCUCGAAAGCGUGGGGAGCAAACAGG